CCGCCUGGGGAGUACGGCCGCAAGGUUAAAACUCAAAUGAAUUGACGGGGGCCCGCACAAGCGGUGGAGCAUGUGGUUUAAUUCGAUGCAACGCGAAGAACCUUACCUGGUCUUGACAUCCACAGAACUUUCCAGAGAUGGAUUGGUGCCUUCGGGAACUGUGAGACAGGUGCUGCAUGGCUGUCGUCAGCUCGUGUUGUGAAAUGUUGGGUUAAGUCCCGCAACGAGCGCAACCCUUAUCCUUUGUUGCCAGCGGUCCGGCCGGGAACUCAAAGGAGACUGCCAGUGAUAAACUGGAGGAAGGUGGGGAUGACGUCAAGUCAUCAUGGCCCUUACGACCAGGGCUACACACGUGCUACAAUGGCGCAUACAAAGAGAAGCGACCUCGCGAGAGCAAGCGGACCUCAUAAAGUGCGUCGUAGUCCGGAUUGGAGUCUGCAACUCGACUCCAUGAAGUCGGAAUCGCUAGUAAUCGUGGAUCAGAAUGCCACGGUGAAUACGUUCCCGGGCCUUGUACACACCGCCCGUCACACCAUGGGAGUGGGUUGCAAAAGAAGUAGGUAGCUUAACCUUCGGGAGGGCGCUUACCACUUUGUGAUUCAUGACUGGGGUGAAGUCGUAACAAGGUAACCGUAGGGGAACCUGCGGUUGGAUCACCUCCUUACCUGAAAGAA
rnacentral:rRNA from 1 species